rnacentral:rRNA from 1 species
AGUGAACGCUGGCGGUAGGCCUAACACAUGCAAGUCGAACGGCAGCACAGUAAGAGCUUGCUCUUACGGGUGGCGAGUGGCGGACGGGUGAGGAAUACAUCGGAAUCUACUUUUUCGUGGGGGAUAACGUAGGGAAACUUACGCUAAUACCGCAUACGACCUACGGGUGAAAGCAGGGGAUCUUCGGACCUUGCGCGAUUGAAUGAGCCGAUGUCGGAUUAGCUAGUUGGCGGGGUAAAGGCCCACCAAGGCGACGAUCCGUAGCUGGUCUGAGAGGAUGAUCGGCCAACCUGGAACUGAGAAACGGCCCAGACCCCUACGGGAGGCAGGAGGGGGGAAUUUUGGAAAAGGGGCGAAAGCCUGCUCCAGCCAUACCGGGGGGGGGAAGAAGGCCUGCGGGUUGUAAAGCCCUUUUGUUGGGAAAGAAAAGCAGCAGGUUAAUACCCCGCUGUUCUGACGGUACCCAAAGAAUAAGCACCGGCAAACUUCGU